GAAGGUAGUGCAGGUGUGGCAGGUUGUCUGCAUUGCCCUUUUUUAUUUAUUUUUUUACAUACCUGUGUAUAGUGCUUUUUAUUGCCACUGGAUGUAGUUCUCUUAGAAUGAGUCAGUAUUUCAAACAUUAAACCUGUCUUCUGGUAAUAGGAUAUGCAGAAGAGAUAAAUCAUCUCAGGCCUGCUUCAUUGCAGGUUAAAGAUAGUAAUUUGUGUGCAUCCUCAUAGUCCUCAGUCUUCAAUGGACUCUCUCUGGGUCGUCUGUUGUUCCAUGACUAGACAGCUUUUCAUCUAUGAAGUCACUGUUAAGAAACAUCAUUAAUAAGAAAAAAGCGGUCAAACUGCAACCAGUUUGGGACCAUUCUCUGACUUCCAAAACAUCUGAUUGCUACACCUUGGCACAAGCAUCUCUACCCGAGAGGAUGGAGCCUGGGGGAGGAUAAAGCUGAAAAAUCAGGAAGAUUUAAAGUGGUGCAUGACUCUGAGAAUUUCUCUAAAUUAAAGAUAGAAAAUUCCUAGAAAAUCAGUCAUAAAUCUAUAGUAUCAAAGUGUAGGGCAUCUAGUGAUCUCUUAUGCUAAAAUUUUGGAAUGUGGAUAAUUUUUUUGUAAGGGUUGUGUCUGUCCCUCACUCGGUUUUUAUUUAUGACUGAAGUUGAUGAGGGUAUGGGUAUCAAGCUUUAGGAACUUAUUUGUCUCUGGAGGGGCAGGGAUGAACGUUGUUUCUGUGGAGUUUUUGGUGUUUGUUUGUUGUUUGUUUGGUUAUUUUAAAAUCUCAUCAAAUUCUACUGCCUUCCUCAAAAAUGCACUGUACAAUGUGCAUGUUAUGGGGCCCUAUUUUGUUUAGAAUUCAAGUUUUCUGGGGGGUUUAUGGAGGAUUUUUUUUUUUGCAAAAACUCCCUAGUAUAUAAUUCUUGAAGCAUAAAAAAUAGGACUAUAAAAAUUUUCAAAGCAAAACAAUCUUCUGCCUGCACUAUAAUUCAAAGCAGAUGGGGGGGCUCCUAGAAGCACAGCAACUGGGCUUCUAUUUCAAUUGGACAAAAUUACUUUAACUUUUUCUACUUUGCUGAUUGGAUGGGUUUGAAAAUUGGGAGUAACCUUGAAGACCAAGCAGAGAAAUUCAGUAUUCUGUGCCCACCAAAGGAGAUAGAGGUGUUCAAGGGCCAGGGACUGAGCUGCCUUUUAGCAGAUGCUUUGUUGUACAGGCAGACCCUUGUAGAUCCUGCUAGGGUGUGACAGUGAAAGUAGAUACUGAAAUAGUCAUGAGCACCCUUUCCCUGUGCUUUCACCCUCUCUGUUCAUGUCUCACCUCUUUCCAGAAACAAAUUAAGAGAAGAACUGUGUAUGCUAUCUCUGUAAAUUAAAAAAACAAUAGCUGGACGAUUUUAAGAGCCUCUUUCCUGGCAGGCACAUCUCGUCAGUCAUAGGAACCGAUUCAGAGGCACAGUAGGUUUCCAGCCAUUAGCAGAUGUUGUAGGUUACAUUCCAUUCACCACCCUUGGAAAAAAUACCCAGCAUGUAUUCUAACAAAGGAGAACUGUGCCUCUUGGGAAGAGGAUUGCCAUGCU